GAUGAACGCUGGCGGCGUGCCUAAUACAUGCAAGUCGAGCGAACAGACGAGGAGCUUGCUCCUCUGACGUUAGCGGCGGACGGGUGAGUAACACGUGGAUAACCUACCUAUAAGACUGGGAUACUUCGGGAAACCGGAGCUAAUACCGGAUAAUAUAUUGAACCGCAUGGUUCAAUAGUGAAAGACGGUUUUGCUGUCACUUAUAGAUGGAUCCGCGCCGCAUUAGCUAGUUGGUAAGGUAACGGCUUACCAAGGCAACGAUGCGUAGCCGACCUGAGAGGGUGAUCGGCCACACUGGAACUGAGACACGGUCCAGACUCCUACGGGAGGCAGCAGUAGGGAAUUUUCCGCAAUGGGCGAAAGCCUGACGGAGCAACGCCGCGUGAGUGAUGAAGGUCUUCGGAUCGUAAAACUCUGUUAUUAGGGAAGAACAAAUGUGUAAGUAACUAUGCACGUCUUGACGGUACCUAAUCAGAAAGCCACGGCUAACUACGUG
rnacentral:rRNA from 1 species